GAUGAAGAACGUAGUGAAAUGAGAUAAGUAAUGUGAAUUGCAGAAUUCAGUGAAUCAUCGAAUCUUUGAACGCACCUUGCGCCCCUUGGUUAUUCCAAAGGGCAUGCCUGUUUGAGUAUCAUGAACACCUCAACUCUUGUGGUUUCCCACAAUGAGCUUGGACUGUGGAGGUUUUGUUGGCCCUGUGGUCAGCUCCUCUCAAAUGGAUCAGCUUACCGGUGUUUGGUGGCAUUACGGGUGUGAUAACUAUCUACGCUCGUGGUCGUCUCCAAAUAACCUCCAGUGAUGGAGGUUCGCUGGAGCUUAUAAAUGUCUCUCCCCAGUGAAGACAGCCUUUGAACGUUCGAUCUCAAAUCAGGUAGGACUACCCGCUGAACUUAAGCAUAUCAAUAAGCGGAGGA
rnacentral:misc_RNA from 1 species